CCUACGGGUGGCAGCAGUGGGGAAUAUUGGACAAUGGGGGCAACCCUGAUCCAGCCAUGCCGCGUGUGUGAAGAAGGCCCUCGGGUUGUAAAGCACUUUCAGUGAGGAAGAACGCCUGGUGGUUAAUACCCAUCAGGAAAGACAUCACUCACAGAAGAAGCACCGGCUAACUCCGUGCCAGCAGCCGCGGUAAUACGGAGGGUGCGAGCGUUAAUCGGAAUUACUGGGCGUAAAGCGCGCGUAGGUGGCUUGAUAAGCCGGUUGUGAAAGCCCCGGGCUCAACCUGGGAACGGCAUCCGGAACUGUCAAGCUAGGGUGCAGGAGAGGAAGGUAGAAUUCCCGGUGUAGCGGUGAAAUGCGUAGAGUUCGGGAGGAAUACCAGUGGCGAAGGCGGCCUUCUGGACUGACACUGACACUGAGGUGCGAAAGCGUGGGUAGCAAACAGGAUUAGAUACCCUAGUAGUC
rnacentral:rRNA from 1 species